rnacentral:rRNA from 1 species
CCUACGGGAGGCAGCAGUGGGGAAUUUUGCGCAAUGGGCGAAAGCCUGACGCAGCAACGCCGCGUGUGUGAUGAAGGUCUUCGGAUUGUAAAGCACUUUCGACCGGGAAGAAAACCCGAAGGAGCCAUACCCUUCGGUUUGACGGUACCGGGAGAAGAAGCACCGGCUAACUCUGUGCCAGCAGCCGCGGUAAUACAGAGGGUGCAAGCGUUGUUCGGAAUUAUUGGGCGUAAAGCGCGUGUAGGCGGCUUUGCAAGUCGGGUGUGAAAGCCCUCAGCUUAACUGAGGAAGUGCGCCCGAAACUGCAGAGCUUGAAUACCGGAGAGGGUGGCGGAAUUCCCCAAGUAGAGGUGAAAUUCGUAGAUAUGGGGAGGAACACCGGUGGCGAAGGCGGCCACCUGGACGGCUAUUGACGCUGAGACGCGAAAGCGUGGGGAGCA